rnacentral:rRNA from 1 species
ACGCUCGACACCUACGGGAGCAGCAGUCGGGAAUAUUGCGCAAUGGAGGAAACUCUGACGCAGUGACGCCGCGUAUAGGAAGAAGGUUUUCGGAUUGUAAACUAUUGUCGUUAGGGAAGAAAAAAGACAGUACCUAAGGAGGAAGCUCCGGCUAACUACGUGCCNNNCGCCGAGUAUNGNGGCGNGNGAGAG